rnacentral:rRNA from 1 species
AUGGAGGACUUUGUCUCUUGGCACUACAACAAAAAUGGGAUCUUCACAGUUAAAUCAUCUUAUUACAGAGAAUGGGAUCACCAACACGGCCGAAAGCUUAGAAUCACAAGCCCAUAUGAUUCAUCUAUGAAGAAUCCGGUCUGGAAGGCAUUAUGGGAAUUGAAGACGCCAGACAAAGUGAAAAUUCAUUACUGGCGAUCACUGUAUGGGGAUAUCCUUUGCUACAGUGUUCUCGCAAACCGCCAUAUUCAGAGCCGGAGUCAAUGCCCAAUUUGCACUAUUGAUUGUGAAAGUAUUAACCAUAUGUCCUUCACAUGCCCAAGGGUAAAAGAGAUCUGGACGCACUUGGGAAUGACGGAAAUCAUUGAUGAAGCUUGCUUUGUGGAGGUUGAUGGGAUUGCACCCCUAGAGAGGCUGCUAUUGGAUACUAAUAACGUACCCGUGCUGGCAGGUGUUCGGCGGUGCAAUCUAGUUGCUGUUGUGUCCUGGUACACAUGCUGGGAACGAAGAAAGUUUACUCGUGCCAACAGGAACAAACCACAAGAGGGUUUUGUAAAGUUGAAUGUGGAUGUAGCAUUUGACAUGGACACAGGUUCGGGGAGGACAGGUGCUAUUAUACGUGAUUGUACAGGAUCUCCAAUUGCAGGUGGUAGUUGGAGCAUCCCUACAAUCGAUACACCGUCAACUGCCGAAGCAUGUGUGCUACAUGAUGGUCUGAUCAUUGCAGGAAACGUUGGUUGUAACAGAAUCCUAGUCAAGAGUGAUUGCAUGGAAGUAGUGGAAGUCAUGCAGAAUGGCGGGAACUCACUAUGA